GGGGAAUCUUGCACAAUGGGCGAAAGCCUGAUGCAGCGACGCCGCGUGGGGGACGAAUGCCUUCGGGUUGUAAACCCCUUUCGGCAGGGAAGAAGCGCAAGUGACGGUACCUGCAGAAGAAGUCCCGGCUAACUACGUGCCAGCAGCCGCGGUAAGACGUAGGGGACGAGCGUUGUCCGGAUUCAUUGGGCGUAAAGCGCGCGUAGGCGGUUUGGUAAGUCGGAUGUGAAAACCAGAGGCUCAACCUCUGGCCUGCAUCCGAUACUGCCCGACUAGAGGUAGGUAGGGGAGAUCGGAAUUCCUGGUGUAGCGGUGAAAUGCGCAGAUAUCAGGAGGAACACCGGUGGCGAAGGCGGAUCUCUGGGCCUUACCUGACGCUGAGGCGCGAAAGCUAGGGGAGCAAAC
rnacentral:rRNA from 1 species